GUCGGAGGAGGCGAGGUUUUCCGGGGUGCCGUAGGCUGUCUCGAAAAACUGGUCGAAAGCCUGUGGCAGGACGCCGUUCCUGCCCACGGUGCUAUAGAAAUUGGACGAGACUGCGGGGGUGGGGUGGUGGUAGACGUUGGCCGAGCUCUUGGCCAGCACGUCGCCAGGCACGCCGGCCGCGCUGGGCGCCUGCAGGCAGUCUCUGUGCACGAGUUCCUCCGCGGAGUAGCAGUGGGCCAGAUUGCCGCGGGGGUGCCAUUUAGUGGCGGGCUCAAUGGCGUACUCUCUGAAGGUCACUUCGCGCACGGGUUGGACCUGGGGCAGGUUGGAGGAGUAGGAGUAUGUCAUUGGGCGCGAAGACGGGGUCUGGGGCAGAAAAGAAGGGAGGCUGGAGAAAUCUGGACCCGAGACGUAGUAAGUACAACUUGGCAAAUACAUGUUAGAGGAGCAGGGACCACGCUCAUCAAAAUCCAUUAUUGGGCUACCUUGGGCUCUCCGCAGUAGCCGAGCUUAACAUGAUUCUCCACUGCAGCUGCCUCUUUGAAGCGGAUCCGUGAAGUAGAAAUUUGGAGACCCACCUCAGGGGAAGCAACAGAUCGUCACUCGGUGUUCUCACCGAAAGCACGUAAUCGCCGGUGUAACUCAUGUUGGCUGGGGGGCCUCCCGGCGCGCGCGGAGAGGCUGGGGUGCGCCCCCAUGCAGCAUGCUUGUGCUCAAUUGCAGGGUCCUCGUUCUCGAGUGUGCAGAGGGCGGUGAGAGCUCAACUCUCGUCCCCACCUCCCACCCGCAGCUCCCCGGACUUGCUCUGGGAAGCGCCUCUGCCUCCGACCCUAGCCGGAACCCCUUCGGGGCCAGAGUUUGAAGCCGUGGAUGUGCCUGCCUGGUGGCUUGUCCGAUUUGCACGGUGACUUGAUUACACUCUCUCAUUCAUGGUCACUUCCGAAGCGCUUUAGUGCCUUCCGUCCCUAAACCGCCAACAGCCAGAACGGCUUCUCCCCGCGUGACUCGGCAGAGACAGAGGCACAGGGGCUGCCCUGCUGCUCACCGGUCCACCCAUCUGCCUGGUCUUCUGGAGCUGAGGACUCGGGAAACCAUGCAAUUGAGGCAAGCCUUGGGCUGCUUUAGAGGCGCUGACAUCCGAGGAGACUUCUCCUGGGAGGUCCAACAGCCGAGCUUAGCCCACCGGGCUCUGGGAAAGACCCGACUGAGGCUAAAGCCGCCCCGGAAGGCCAAGUCCGAGUUCCAUUUCUUGAAGAGGCCGGCGCGCGUAAGGCUGUGACAUUGGCCCUGGCGACUGGCUUCCCAGGAGCUGUUCUUUCUCAGGAGCUCCACAGCGCGGGCCAUCUCCAGAAAACUGUCUUCAGAGUGUAUUUCCUUUUAUCGUCAACCCAGAGCCCCACCGCGGCUAAUGCAAGAGGCCAAAAAAUGUUUGGAGGAAGAAAAACAAAGGCAGGAAGUGGCGGCCGCCUGACGGUGCGUGUGUGUCUGCAGAGAAGGGAGGGAGCCGGCUCAGUCUCUUCUUGUUUUUCCAAACUUCAAGGUCCAGGCAGCCCUCUGCAGGGCCGGGCCCCAUUGCUCCCCGCGCGGCAUUGGAGGUGGCCACCCGGAGAGGAGAAGGCCAACGCCUGCGCCAGGCUUGUCAGGCGGAAACGGCUAACAAGGAGAUUUGGUCAGCAAAACAGACCGAGCCUUUCCGAGGCUUCGUCUGACUUGGCCCGAAAGG
rnacentral:antisense_RNA from 1 species